GUCCACACUGUAAACGUUGAAGACUCGCUGUGUGCGAUAUACAGUACGCGGCUUAGAGAAAUCGUUAAGUCUUCCACCUGGGGAGUACGCCGGCAACGGUGAAACUCAAAGGAAUUGACGGGGUCCGCACAAGCGGUGGAGCAUGUGGUUUAAUUCGAUGAUACGCGAGGAACCUUACCUGGGCUAGAAUGCCCUUGACUGGUUCAGAGAUGGAUCGUUCCGCAAGGACAAGGAGCAAGGUGCUGCAUGGCUGUCGU
rnacentral:rRNA from 1 species